GUCGUUGCAGUUAAAAAGCUCGUAGUUGGAUUUCGGAGUGGGCCAGUUGGUCCGCCGCAAGGUGUGUUACUGACUGGUUUGCUCUUCUUCGCAAAGACUGCGUGUGCUCUUGAGUGAGUGUGCGUAGGAUUUACGACGUUUACUUUGAAAAAAUUAGAGUGUUCAAAGCAGGCUAUUGCUUGAAUACAUGAGCAUGGAAUAAUGGAAUAGGACUUUGGUCCCAUUUUGUUGGUUUCUAGGGCCGAAGUAAUGAUUAAGAGGGACAAUUGGGGGCAUCCGUAUUUCGUUGUCAGAGGUGAAAUUCUUGGAUUUACGAAAGACGAACAACUGCGAAAGCACUUGCCAAGAGUGUUUUCAUUAAUCAAGAACGAAAGUUAGAGGAUCGAAGACGAUCAGAUACCGUCCUAGUUCUAACCAUAAACGAUGUCGACUAGGGAUCAGCGGGCGUUAUCGUACGACCCCGUUGGCACCUUACGGGAAACCAAAGUUUUUGGAUUCCGGGGGAAGUAUGGUUGCAAAGCUGAAACUUAAAGGAAUUGACGGAAGGGCACCACCAGGAGUGGAGCCUGUGGCUCAAUUUGACUCAACACGGGAAAACUUACCAGGUCCAGACAUAGUAAAGAUUGACAGGUUGAGAGC
rnacentral:rRNA from 1 species